rnacentral:rRNA from 1 species
UACGUAGGGCGCAAGCGUUGUCCGGAAUUAUUGGGCGUAAAGAGCUCGUAGGUGGCUGGUCGCGUCUGCCGUGAAAGCCCGCAGCUUAACUGCGGGUCUGCGGUGGAUACGGGCCGGCUAGAGGUAGGUAAGGGCAAGUGGAAUUCCUGGUGUAGCGGUGAAAUGCGCAGAUAUCAGGAGGAACACCGGUGGCGAAGGCGGCUUGCUGGGUCUUACCUGACGCUGAGGAGCGAAAGCGUGGGGAGCGAACAGG